CAGACAAGAAAAUCUAACAUCCCGCAGACAGUGAGGGAUUAUGAUUGAGCUAGCAUGGAAUACUGAAGACAGGCUUUCUCCUGAUGCUUUAUCUCACAGGCCAAGGAUGAAAAGGGACAUUUCAUGGGUGGGAAGGUUACAUGUAUGGGAAUAUGCAGGUGCAUAUGCCCAUGUCAAUUCAUAAAUAAGUCAGAGCCAAUUCAGCCAGGUAAUCUCUGGGAUUUGCCUGCCCCCACUCCACAAUGCUAGAUUACUUGGAUCUGCUUGUGGGUGCUGGGGAUUUAAAUUCAGGUCCUUAUGUGUUUAGAGCAAAUGUAGAGCCAUUUUCCCAGCUCUUGGGGUUGAAUGUUUCUAUGUGUGUUCUGGCAGGGUGCAGGAAUACUGCUUCAGGAAAUGGAUUAUAGAACCUACAGAAUGAAAGUUAUGGGGUCAUCAGUAUCACCCUAACAAAUAGAACAUCCCUUAUAGGACACCUACCAACUAGGUGUUUCUUAUACCCUACCUUAUAUUAAGCAUUUAAAAGACCUUCAGAAUGGCCAAACACCCUAAUAAACAUAUCAGUAGAAGC
rnacentral:lncRNA from 1 species